rnacentral:lncRNA from 1 species
UAGAUAUCUAUAAAUACCUUUCAAAAGCAUGGCAAAUUCUAGCUAACUAUAUGUUAGUGUUGAUCAUUUAAAUUUUUGUGAAUUACAUCAUACAAAUCUAUAUAGUUGCGUAUGAAAUAUAACCAUUCUUCAUAACUUUGGAUGUCAAAAAUGUCUAAAUCUCGGUGUGCGAAUGGGAGUUAUAAAAGGAGCGUCGGAAAAGAAAUAUAUAUAUACAUAGUACUACAUGGAAAAUAAGAAAUAUAUCACGUCGUUACCUUUAUUGUAGCACACAAUCUUUUAUCCGAAAAGAUUCAGAAAUAAAGCCCAAGAUCAGUUGGUGGUACUUAGCCAAUACCUAUUUCGAACUAUAAAAUUAUUAUUUAACAAUUUUUGGUAAUUUUUCACAGCUUAAAUAAAACAAUUCAAACUCAACCAUUCAGCGUUCAGAAUAUUGAAGAGAAGAAAAACAUCGACAGCUGAAAACAAGAGGCAACACUGUGUACAUAAAGUAUAUUCUAUUCACUUAUAUGUAUAUGAGCGACGUUCAAAACAUGAGGCUACAAGAGACAUGAAAACCAUUCAAUAUCCAGGAUAAUUGUCAUUUUCAAAAGACUCAUUUGGGAGUAAAAUAUGCACAUACCUAUACGAUUGAGUAUUUAUAAAUAUAUACAACAUUGUAGCUAAUAAAUUGUACUGCGUCAACAUUAAAAAAA